rnacentral:rRNA from 1 species
GACGGAGGAUGCAAGUGUUAUCCGGAAUCACUGGGCGUAAAGCGUCUGUAGGUGGUUUAAAAAGUCUAUUGUUAAAAAUUGAAGCUUAACUUCAAAGAUGCAAUGGAAACUUUUAAACUUGAGUAUGGUAGGGGUAGAGGGAAUUUCCAGUGGAGCGGUGAAAUGCGUAGAGAUCGGAAAGAACACCAACGGCGAAAGCGCUCUGCUGGGCCGACACUGACACUGAGAGACGAAAGCUAGGGGAGCGAAUGGG